rnacentral:rRNA from 1 species
UACAUGGGGUGCAAACGUUGCUCGGAAUCAUUGGGCGUAAAGCGCGCGUAGGCGGUUGCUUAAGUCGGAUGUGAAAGCCCUCGGCUUAACUGAGGAAGUGCAUCCGAAACUGAGCAGCUAGAGUACGAAAGAGGGUCGCGGAAUUCCCGGUGUAGAGGUGAAAUUCGUAGAUAUCGGGAGGAACACCGGUGGCGAAGGCGGCGACCUGGGUCGAGACUGACGCUGAGGCGCGAAAGCCAGGGGAGCAAACGGG